AGUAUUUGAGGGGUUCCAGAACACAAUGGCAUCUCCGGGAAAUUCUGCUGGUUCAGUUCUACUGAAGUUUUGAGAUGAGUUGCAAAUCCUGAAAAUUUUCUCCUUGCCGAGGUGGUAAUUUCACAGUUUAGAUUGUGGGGAUAUUGAUUGCUCAGUGUUGAGGACCUAAUGUAACUUUCAGCAGCAGAAAUUUUCAACAUCCAGUGAUUGAGACAAAAACAUUUGAAAUCUUUUUUUCUGUGGACAGGAAUUGCUUCUGUGUUACCUCACAUCAUCCAUUAAAAAUUUGAUGCCUGGAAAAAGUCCCGAGUGCUGUGUGAUUUCCUUGGUCGUGUUCUUUGGAAUGGCUUCCCCCCCAUUUUCUGAAGCUGGCCACAGAAAGGUUAACUUUUGCAAAUUCCGUGCUGAAAAAUGUUGCUACUAAGGAUGGUUGGUGUCAAAAGAGGUUCUUUUCUCGCUUGAAUUCAUUAAAAUCUCCAGGUGAGGGGAAGAUUGUAUCUAUUCCUCUCUUUUUAAAGCAAAUUUUCCAAGAGGGAUCUAAAAUUGCAUUUGAGGGUUGGGGUGUGGUUUUUUUCCCUUCUUUCAUGUGCAACCUAACAACUCCAACUUCACAGGCCUAUUUAACAUUUGAUCCAUCAAAAUCAGUCCUUUGAUUUGUGUUUUGGAAACUUGUUCAUCUUGGGGAAUUUGUCAUCUUCUCAGGGUAUUGAAGGUCAACCAAAUGCUGCAGGUUUCAUUCUUCCUUUAAUAUGGUCUAUGUGCUGGAGUUUGACUCUUAAGCAGAACUCAUUUUUUAUUUUGCAGCCUAGCACUUCUACUGUGGGGCUCUGGGCAGGUCAAUUCACUUGAGAACGAUGGGUAAAUCAGCUCCUGGGAAGCUGUGCACUGCCUGGCCCCGAUGCUUCAGCAUGCUUGAGGUCAGCUUGGCUGUCUCCGACUGUCUAAUAAUAUGCAGAAUAAUAGAAUUUAGUAUUCAUUUUAAUUGCUGAUCAAUAAGAUUUGUUUUCAUCUAAAUCUGCGUGCUAGUUUCUAAACCACUACAGUCUGUUUCAUCAAUGACCUNNNNNNNNNNNNNNNNNNNNCGUAAACCUCCCUUGGCACAGCUUCAAAGCCUUGUUGGCAUCUGCUCUCUCUUGUCCUUGCCCAUCUGGCUGGCGCUGCCGUGUUGCUCACUGGCCUGUCUGUGGGAGAAGAGGCUGUGCCAAUGAGUGCUGCUCAACUUUGAGGCCAUCCAAAGGAGGAUUUGAUUGUGCCUGCUGUGGGAAGGAAGAUGCGUGCACAUGGCCACUUCCCAUAGGUUUUACCGCAGAUUUUCAUCAACAGCUGUCCUACUGAAAGUAAAGUCUGUUUUAGUGAGUAUUUGAGGGGUUCCAGAACACAAUGGCAUCUCAGGGAAAUUCUGCUGGUUCAGUUCUACUGAAGUUUUGAGAUGAGUUGCAAAUCCUGAAAAUUUUCUCCUUGCCGAGGUGGUAAUUUCACAGUUUAGAUUGUGGGGAUAUUGAUUGCUCAGUGUUGAGGACCUAAUGUAACUUUCAGCAGCAGAAAUUUUCAACAUCCAGUGAUUGUCUUUGAGACAAAACCAUUUGAAAUCUUUUUUUCUGUGGACAGGAAUUGCUUCUGUGUUACUUCACAUCAUCCAUUAAAAAUUUGAUGCCUGGAAAAAGUCCCGAGUGCUGUGUGAUUUCCUUGGUCGUGUUCUUUGGAAUGGCUUCCCCCAUUUUCUGAAGCUGGCCACAGAAAGGUAAUAGAUGGGUGAGAAGUUGUGAAAGGCCAACUGGUGUAGAUCUUUGCCUCCUGUUUCGAGGUCUGUGGUGAGCUGUGAGUCAAAGAGCUGAUUUGACGCUCUGGAGGUCAGAACUGAGGGGAGAUGCGGAGUCUCCUCCCAAUGCCCACUUUUGCCGCUGACUUGGUUCUUGGCCUCGGCUGAGAGCAGUAACGAAGGUGCAGCUGCAUCAGGUCACAGUUCUGCCUCAGCAGCUGCAUCAACUUCUUUGGACAGCCCUGUCCUCGGUGACGGCGGGGCAAUAUAAAUACAAUAUAAAUUCCAGCUCAUGCUUUCCCCAAAAGCCUCAUUUAAUUUAUCCAGGAUUAAAAAUUAAAGAAAAACUAAAAAAUAACUUAAAAGCAUUUCACAUAGUAUGUCAAAUACUAUCAUUUCCAUCUGAAGUGUUCAUCAUUAUUAUGUUUUUCUGAAGUGAAUUACCAAGUCUCCUGCACCCAUCUUCCCAAAAUCUGAUUCUAAGUGCUUGCUAGUUUAAUCCCUUAGGAAGCAAAGGUAGCCCCAGGUGUCUCUGGAUAAACAGAAACUAAGCAGCAAAGCUUGACAAAGUAUAUUAAAUUGUCAAUAAACUCAAUAAAGAUUUUCCA
rnacentral:lncRNA from 1 species